AACGAACGCUGGCGGCAUGCCUAACACAUGCAAGUCGAACGAGAUCUUCGGGUCUAGUGGCGCACGGGUGCGUAACGCGUGGGAAUCUGCCCUUUGGUUCGGAAUAACAGUUGGAAACGACUGCUAAUACCGGAUGAUGACGAAAGUCCAAAGAUUUAUCGCCAGAGGAUGAGCCCGCGUAGGAUUAGCUAGUUGGUGUGGUAAAGGCGCACCAAGGCGACGAUCCUUAGCUGGUCUGAGAGGAUGAUCAGCCACACUGGGACUGAGACACGGCCCAGACUCCUACGGGAGGCAGCAGGGGGGAAUAUUGGACAACUGGCGAAAGCCUGAUCCAGCAAUGCCGCGUGAGUGAUGAAGGCCUUAGGGUUGUAAAGCUCUUUUACCCGGGAUGAUAAUGACAGUACCGGGAGAAUAAGCUCCGGCUAACUCCGUGCCAGCCGCCGCCGUAACAC
rnacentral:rRNA from 1 species